rnacentral:misc_RNA from 1 species
GAAAUGCGAUACGUAAUGCGAAUUGCAGAACGCGAGUCAUCAAAUCUUUGAACGCACCUGGCGCUUCCUGAAGAGGGAGCAUGCUUGUUUCAGUGUCGUUUUUCUCUCUCACCCCAUUUACUUGGGAGUUGAGGUCGCUGAGCCUGCGCUGCGCCUUUUACUGGCCGCGUGCUAGGCUUCAAGUGUGAUUAAAUCCGCAUGCUCAGUCAUUUUGCGCUGGCAUGGUGUGGUAGUGCGCGCAGGCCAUUCGUGGCUCGCCUCACAAUGCCCCCAAGCCGCUACAUGGUGUAAUUUGACGCUUUACAGUAUGUCGAGGCAGUGCUUGCUUGCAAGUGCAGCCGCAACCAUCACAUUCAACUACCGACCUGAAAUCAAGCAAGAGGACCCGCUGGACUUAA